GCAGUCGAGCGCGAAUGGAGCAAUCCUAGUAGAGCGGCGCACGGGUGCGUAACACGUGGGUAAUCUGCCUGGAAGCCUGGGAUAACCAGUCGAAAGAUUGGCUAAUACCAGAUAAGCCCACGGGGACUUCGGUUCCCGAGGGAAAAGGUGGCCUCUGUAUACAAGCUAUCACUUCUAGAUGAGCCCGCGGCCCAUCAGCUAGUUGGCGGGGUAAUGGCCCACCAAGGCGACGACGGGUAGCUGGUCUGAGAGGACGAUCAGCCACACUGGAACUGAGACACGGUCCAGACUCCUACGGGAGGCAGCAGUGGGGAAUUUUGCGCAAUGGGCGAAAGCCUGACGCAGCAACGCCGCGUGUGUGAUGAAGGUCUUCGGAUUGUAAAGCACUUUCGACCGGGACGAAAACCCUGAAGCUAACAUCUUCAGGUUUGACGGUACCGGGAGAAGAAGCACCGGCUAACUCUGUGCCAGCAGCCGCGGUAAUACAGAGGGUGCAAGCGUUGUUCGGAAUUAUUGGGCGUAAAGCGCGUGUAGGCGGCUUUGCAAGUCGGGUGUGAAAGCCCUCAGCUCAACUGAGGAAGUGCGCCCGAAACUGCAGAGCUUGAGUGCCGGAGAGGGUGGCGGAAUUCCCCAAGUAGAGGUGAAAUUCGUAGAUAUGGGGAGGAACACCGGUGGCGAAGG
rnacentral:rRNA from 1 species